rnacentral:misc_RNA from 1 species
GAUGAAGAACGUAGCGAAAUGCGAUAAGUAAUGUGAAUUGCAGAAUUCAGUGAAUCAUCGAAUCUUUGAACGCACAUUGCGCCCGCCAGUAUUCUGGCGGGCAUGCCUGUUCGAGCGUCAUUUCAACCAUCAAGCCCCAGGCUUGUGUUGGGGACCUGCGGCUGCCGCAGGCCCUGAAAACCAGUGGCGGGCUCGCUGUCACACCGGGCGUAGUAGAUUUUAUCUCGCUCAGGGCGUGCUGCGGGUUCCGGCCGUUAAAAAGCCUUUUUUACCCAAGGUUGACCUCGGAUCAGGUAGGAAGACCCGCUAAACUUAAGCAUAUCAAUAAGCGGAGGA